rnacentral:rRNA from 1 species
UACGUAGGGGGCGAGCGUUGUCCGGAGUUACUGGGCGUAAAGCGCACGCAGGCGGUCUGCUAAGUUUGGAGUGACAGUUGGUGGCUUAACUGCCAAAGUGCUUCGAAAACUGACAGACUUGAGGGCUUCAGAGGGACACGGAAUCCGGGUGGAGUGGUGAAAUGCGCAGAUAUCAGGAAGAACACCAAUGGCGAAGGCAGCUCGCUGGGACGGUACUGACGCUGAGACGCGAAAGCGUGGGGAGCAAACAGG